rnacentral:rRNA from 1 species
CCGCAAGGUUAAAACUCAAAUGAAUUGACGGGGGGCCCGCACAAGCGGUGGAGCAUGUGGUUUAAUUCGAUGCAACGCGAAGAACCUUACCUACUCUUGACAUCCAGAGAACUUAGCAGAGAUGCUUUGGUGCCUUCGGGAACUCUGAGACAGGUGCUGCAUGGCUGUCGUCAGCUCGUGUUGUGAAAUGUUGGGUUAAGUCCCGCAACGAGCGCAACCCUUAUCCUUUGUUGCCAGCGGUCCGGCCGGGAACUCAAAGGAGACUGCCAGUGAUAAACUGGAGGAAGGUGGGGAUGACGUCAAGUCAUCAUGGCCCUUACGAGUAGGGCUACACACGUGCUACAAUGGCGCAUACAAAGAGAAGCGACCUCGCGAGAGCAAGCGGACCUCAUAAAGUGCGUCGUAGUCCGGAUUGGAGUCUGCAACUCGACUCCAUGAAGUCGGAAUCGCUAGUAAUCGUGGAUCAGAAUGCCACGGUGAAUACGUUCCCGGGCCUUGUACACACCGCCCGUCACACCAUGGGAGUGGGUUGCAAAAGAAGUAGGUAGCUUAACCUCGGGAGGGCGCUUACCACUUU